rnacentral:rRNA from 1 species
UACGAAGGGCCCGAGCGUUAUUCGGAAUCACUGGGCUUAAAGGGUGCGUAGGCGGAAGCGUAAGUGUCUUGUGAAAUCCCACGGCUCAACCGUGGAACUGCAGGGCAUACUGCGUUUCUUGAGGCCAGUAGAGGUUGCCGGAACUCUAGGUGUAGCGGUGAAAUGCGUAGAUAUCUAGAGGAACGCCAAAGACGAAGGUAGGCAACUGGGCUGGUUCUGACGCUGAGGCACGAAAGCGUGGGGAGCAAACAGG